AUGGACGCCGCCGCCGCCGCCGCGCAGAAGCGGAAGCGGGCGGAGCAGGAGGAGGAGCAGGCGGCGACCGACGGGCUCGACGUGCUCGACCUGCGGGCGGCGAAGCGGCUGCUGCUGGGCUUCGAGCGCCGCCUCCGCGACAACCUCGAGGCCCGCAUGAAGCACCCGGACGACCCGGCCCGGUUCGCCGACUCCGAGCUCGCUCUCCACGCCGAGACGGACCGGCUCCGCCUCCUUGCCGGCGCGCCGGAGCUCUUCCCCGACCUGGUCCCGCUCGGCCUCGCCUCCUCCCUCUCCUCGCUCCUCACCCACGACAACGCCGACCUGGCCGCCGCGGCCGCCUCCCUUCUUGCCGACCUCACCGACUCCGACGACCCCUCGGACCUCGCCGGGGUGCAGGCCCUCGCUGACGCGCUCGUCGACGCCAACGCGCUCGACCUGCUCGUGCACAACCUCUCGCGGCUCUCUGAGGCGGACCCCGACGAGGCCGAGGCGGUGCACCACUCCCUGGCCGUCCUCGAGAACCUCAUCGACCUCCGCCCGCACCUCGCCGACCUCGUCUGCGAUCGCACCAAGGUGCUCCGGUGGCUGCUGGCCCGCGUCAAGGCCCGCGACUUCGAGGCCAACAAGCAGUACGCCUCCGAGAUCCUCGCCAUCCUGCUGCAGAACAGCCCCGCCAACCAGAAGCGGCUUGGCCAGAUGAACGGCGUCGACGGCCUGCUGCAGGCCGUCGCCAUGUACAAGUCCAGGGACCCCAGGACCACCGACGAGGAGGAGAUGCUUGAGAACCUCUUCGACUGCCUCUGCUGCGUGCUCAUGCCGCUCGGGAACAAGGAGCGGUUCGUCAAGGCCGAGGGGGUCGAGCUCAUGAUCAUUAUCAUGAAGCAGAAGAAGUCCGCCUACAGCUCCGCCAUCAGGACGCUGGAUUUCGCCAUGACCAGGUUCCCGCCUGCCUGCGAGCGCUUUGUCGACGUGCUCGGGCUCAAGACUGCUUUUGCGGCGUUCAUGGGUAAGAUUCCUGUGAACAAGAAAAACAAAAAUGAGAGCUAUCAGGAGGAGCUAGAAGAACGCAUCAUUUCACUAGUUGCUUCAUUGUUUGGUGGUAUCACGAAAGGUUCACGAAGGAUCAGGUUACUAGGCAAAUUUGUUGAGAACGAAUGCGAAAAGAUAGACCGUCUGAUGGAGCUAUACAUACGGUAUUCAGACAGAGUGAAAGCUGAGACCGAAAGGUUCGAAAGCCUCGAUUUAGAUGAUUUAGAGAUGGACGAUGAUGAGCGGUACAACCGGAAACUUGAAGCUGGGCUUUACACGCUUCAGCUAGUGGCGCUUAUUCUUGGGCAUAUCUGGCACUCCGGGAACACACAGAUGAGGACAAGAAUAGAGUUGCUCCUGAGACAGAACAAGCUGACAAAGGAUGAUGUCAAGGAGAUACUUCAGGAGUACCACGACAACAUCGGGGACCUGGAUGGGCCGGAAGAGAAGGAGAAGGCGCAAGGGCGGACCAAGGAAAUCAUAGCCGCGUUGUCGUGA
rnacentral:rRNA from 1 species